GUAUUCAGGUGAUCGCGCCAUUUCGAUGGUGAGGAAAGUCCAUGCUCGCACAGACUGAGAUGUCUGUAGUGUUCGUGCCUGACGAAACAAUAAGUCAGGGUAGCAUUUCUAUGCUAACGGCUGUGUUUCUACCUAAACCUUUAUGGCAUGGUAUAAACACUUUAAAAGUGCCACAGUGACGAUGCCUAGUAGAAAUACUAGGACUGGAACGGGUAAACCCCACGAGCGAGAAACCCAAAUGUUGGUAGGGGAACUUUUAACUCGGGAAUUAAACUGAGUAGAAGGCAGUAAUUUACUGUAGAUAAAUGAUUACCACCGGAGUACGAGGAGGCAUCCGUUUGCAGUACUAAGGAACAGAACAUGGCUUAUCGAA
rnacentral:RNase_P_RNA from 2 species